GCCUCGUUAGCUCAGUGGUUUAGAGCAUAUGGCUUUUAACCAUAGGGUCGCGGGUUCGAUACCCGCACGAGGCU